UAUUUUGCUCAUUUGACUAAA
ensembl:piRNA 21ur-2494 ncRNA